UCCGUUUACCAAUAAGCAGUGAUCAGUUUCUUUUGUUUGUUUUUCUAUUGUUUACCUACUAUAUUAUAUGAUGACUUACCUCCAAAACGCUUUAAAACUUUCGUUUAUAAUUCUAAGUGUGUUUAUAAUUAAAGAGCUACAGUGAAAUAAAAUGAAUUCUUCAAGAAAGGCAGCACCCAUGACAAAAGAUGAGACGAUGAUUCUAGCAGAACUUGUGGCGGCGAAAAAACAUUUCAAUAAUAAGGCAACAAAUGCCACAAACAAUAAAUUGAAGGAGCAGGCUUGGCAAACCCUUGUAAAUGAUUUUAAUUCGUCGAUUCGUCGUUUCCCACGAACUCCAUCGCAGCUUCGACUAAAAUGGGAAAACUUAAAGAACGCUACGGCACAUAAGAAACAACCUUAGUAAGGCUGGAGGUGGUAAGGAUUGCAGAUGAAAUUUUGGAUAAAGCAUGCACAUUGUUGUAGGUCACAUAUAAUAUUUUUAACACUUUUACAGCCAAGCGGAAACAAGAUGGAAGAAAAGAAAUGCAAGGCUAGCAUAGGGACAAUGCAUUAGCAGAAUAUCUAAUAGCAAAAAAGAGACGACUUGGAAAAUAAAGAAAAGGAGAUUGUUGUAGCAAAAGUUAAGUUAGAUUUAGAUAAUUUAAAAAAUAAAAAAUUACUUAAAAGGAAUAUUAAAUUUCAUAAAUUAAGUAGGCAAUAAUAAUUUUAUGUUAGAUAGUUUUUUAAGUAUAUGUACAAAUUCUAAAUUAAAUAUCUUGCAUGUACUAACUACCAUGUAAUUAUCAUUUUGGAAAAUAAAAAAUAGUCAAAUUA